CCUCACGAGAGACGCGGGGUCAGCGGCUCAGAGCGCGGCUGUGUGGGGCUGCGGGGCUCCCGCCAUGCCCGCUGGGGUAGGUCCUGCGGACCCCGGCCACUGGAGCCACUCAUCAUUUCCGACGGAUGGGCCGGAGGGGCCGCCGGCCGCCCCAGCCAGGGUCUCGGUAGCCUGCAAGGAGAGAAAGAGGUGGGAGCAGCCCGCGCGGGGCCCUGCGUCUUGCAUAGGCGCUUCUGGGCGCGGAAUUGGAAGCAGUCGUCACCCGGAGGCCUGGGCGUGCAAGCACCGAAGCUCUGGCUGGCCCUGAGCCUCCCCACCCCACCCGCUCUUUUCGCUGGAACGCGUGUACUUUGGGCAGUUGCUGACGUGGAGACAGGACGUAUGUCUUCAUAUUUUAGUAAAACCCAAUGCCCUCUGCCUCUC
ensembl:lncRNA C16orf95-DT C16orf95 divergent transcript